rnacentral:rRNA from 1 species
UACGGAGGAUGCGAGCGUUAUCCGGAUUUAUUGGGUUUAAAGGGUGCGUAGGCGGCCUUUUAAGUCAGCGGUGAAAGUCUGUGGCUCAACCAUAGAAUUGCCGUUGAAACUGGCGUUCUUGAGUGGAAGAGAAGUAUGCGGAAUGCGUGGUGUAGCGGUGAAAUGCAUAGAUAUCACGCAGAACCCCGAUUGCGAAGGCAGCAUGCCGGCUUCCGACUGACGCUGAAGCACGAAAGCGUGGGGAUCGAACAGG